rnacentral:rRNA from 1 species
ACGGGAGGCAGCAGUAGGGAAUCUUCCACAAUGGACGCAAGUCUGACGGAGCGACGCCGCGUGGAUGAUGAAGGUCGGAAGAUUGUAAAAUCCUUUUAUAACUGAGGAAUAAGCAGUGUGAGAGAAACGCAUUGUGGUGACUGUAGGUUAUGAAUAAGCAACGGCUAAUUACGUGCCAGCAGCCGCGGUAACACGUAAGUUGCGAGCGUUGUUCGGAAUUAUUGGGCGUAAAGGGCGUGUAGGCGGUUUUGCAAGCUUGAUGUGAAAGGCAGGUGCUUAACUCCUGGACUGCGCUGAGAACUGCAUGACUAGAGUCACUGAGGGGCAAUCAGAAUUCCUGGUGUAGGGGUGAAAUCUGUAGAUAUCAGGAAGAAUACCAAUGGCGAAGGCAGGUUACCAGCAGAUGACUGACGCUGAGGUGCGAAGGUGCGGGGAGCAAACAGGAUUAGAUCCCCUGGUA